rnacentral:rRNA from 1 species
GUGGAUUAGAUACCCUAGUAGUCCACGCUGUAAACGUUGCAUACUCGGUCUUAGCGAUAUACAGUUAGGACCUAAGCGAAAGCAUUAAGUAUGCCACCUGGGGAGUACGGUCGCAAGAUUGAAACUCAAAGGAAUUGACGGGGGCCCGCACAAGCGGAGGAGCAUGUGGUUUAAUUCGAUGAUACGCGAGGAACCUUACCCGGGCUUGAAAGUUAGUGACGAAUUCCGAAAGGAGUUUUUCUAGCAAUAGACACGAAACUAGGUGCUGCACGGUCGUCGCCAACU